rnacentral:lncRNA from 1 species
UACAAAGUAGUUUUGUUUCCAUAUACAGUGGCCAGUACCUGCAAAAUUGCUGUCCAAAUGCUAGGUUGAUACUGCAUUGUUUUUUCUAAAAAGCAUCUAUCAGUUUUUCAUUCACAGGAUCUAAAAGGAACAAAGUUACUUACCAGGAGGCGUUACUGUGAGCUUAGUUCCUUCUGCAAAUGUCUUGAUCCAGCCUGGUUAGAGGUUCUCGUCCCAAUCCAGCAGCCACAGGAGUACACGGCCUCAUCUUGUUUCCUUAAGAAAUUUAUUUUCAAGGGGGAAGUGCAAGUUUGCUGUUCUUCCUACUUAAGUGACUGUCAACUGCAAGCAAAGAAGAGAAAUUCCCAUGAGCAAAUGAUACAGGAAAAGGCAACAAUAAAGAAUUUCUUGAGUCUCUCCUGCAGUCUGAAGUGA